UACGUAGGGUGCGAGCGUUAAUCGGAAUUACUGGGCGUAAAGCGUGCGCAGGCGGUCUGUUAAGACCGAUGUGAAAUCCCCGGGCUUAACCUGGGAACUGCAUUGGUGACUGGCAGGCUUUGAGUGUGGCAGAGGGAGGUAGAAUUCCACGUGUAGCAGUGAAAUGCGUAGAUAUGUGGAGGAAUACCGAUGGCGAAGGCAGCCCCCUGGGAUAACACUGACGCUCAUGCACGAAAGCGUGGGGAGCAAACAGG
rnacentral:rRNA from 1 species